rnacentral:siRNA from 1 species
UAUGUCACUACAAGAAAACAGGCG